CCUACGGGAGGCAGCAGUAAGGAAUAUUGGUCAAUGGACGAAAGUCUGAACCAGCCAUGCCGCGUGAAGGAUUAAGGCCCUCUGGGUUGUAAACUUCUUUUAUCUGGGACGAAAAAAGGGUAUUCUUACUCACUUGACGGUACCAGAGGAAUAAGCACCGGCUAACUCCGUGCCAGCAGCCGCGGUAAUACGGAGGGUGCAAGCGUUAUCCGGAUUUACUGGGUUUAAAGGGUGCGUAGGUGGGCUUGUAAGUCAGUGGUGAAAUCUCCGGGCUUAACCCGGAAACUGCCAUUGAUACUAUAGGUCUUGAAUUAUCUGGAGGUAAGCGGAAUAUGUCAUGUAGCGGUGAAAUGCUUAGAUAUGACAUAGAACACCAAUUGCGAAGGCAGCUUACUACGGAUAUAUUGACACUGAGGCACGAAAGCGUGGGGAUCAAACAGGAUUAGAUACCCUGGUAGUCCACGCCCUAAACGAUGGAUACUCGACAUCAGCGAUACACUGUUGGUGUCUGAGCGAAAGCAUUAAGUAUCCACCUGGAAGUACGAUCACAAGAUUGAAACUUAAGGAAUUGACGG
rnacentral:rRNA from 1 species